rnacentral:tRNA from 1 species
CGGGGUGUAGCGCAGUCUGGUAGCGCAUCUGGUUUGGGACCAGAGGGUCGGGAGUUCGAAUCUCUCCACCCCGA